GGGGCCGCCACCAAAAUGCAGAUUUUUGUGAAAACCCUUACGGGAAAAACCAUCACCCUCGAGGUUGAACCCUCGGAUACGAUAGAAAAUGUAAAGGCCAAGAUCCAGGAUAAGGAAGGAAUUCCUCCUGAUCAGCAAAGACUGAUCUUUGCUGGCAAGCAACUGGAAGAUGGACGUACUUUGACUACAACAUUCAGAAGGAGUCUACUCUUCAUCUUGUGUUGAGACUUCGUGGUGGUGCUAAGAAAAGGAAGAAGAAGUCUUACACCACUCCCAAGAAGAAUAAGCACAAGAGAAAGAAGGUUAAGCUGGCUGUCCUGAAAUAUUACAAGGUGGAUGAGAAUGGCAAAAUUAGUCGCCUUCGUCGAGAAUGCCCUUCUGAUGAAUGUGGUGCUGGAGUGUUUAUGGCAAGCCACUUUGACAGACAUUAUUGUGGCAAAUGUUGUCUGACUUACUGCUUUAACAAACCAGAAGACAAAUAACUGAGUUAAUAAAAGACAUGAACUAA